UGAGUUUGAUCCUGGCUCAGAUUGAACGCUGGCGGCAGGCCUAACACAUGCAAGUCGAGCGGAAACGAGUUAUCUGAACCUUCGGGGAACGAUAACGGCGUCGAGCGGCGGACGGGUGAGUAAUGCCUAGGAAAUUGCCCUGAUGUGGGGGAUAACCAUUGGAAACGAUGGCUAAUACCGCAUGAUGCCUACGGGCCAAAGAGGGGGACCUUCGGGCCUCUCGCGUCAGGAUAUGCCUAGGUGGGAUUAGCUAGUUGGUGAGGUAAGGGCUCACCAAGGCGACGAUCCCUAGCUGGUCUGAGAGGAUGAUCAGCCACACUGGAACUGAGACACGGUCCAGACUCCUACGGGAGGCAGCAGUGGGGAAUAUUGCACAAUGGGCGCAAGCCUGAUGCAGCCAUGCCGCGUGUGUGAAGAAGGCCUUCGGGUUGUAAAGCACUUUCAGUCGUGAGGAAGGCGGUGUCGUUAAUAGCAGGCAGUCRUUUGACGUUAGCGACAGAAGAAGCACCGGCUAACUCCGUGCCAGCAGCCGCGGUAAUACGGAGGGUGCGAGCGUUAAUCGGAAUUACUGGGCGUAAAGCGCAUGCAGGUGGUUUGUUAAGUCAGAUGUGAAAGCCCGGGGCUCAACCUCGGAAUAGCAUUUGAAACUGGCAGACUAGAGUACUGUAGAGGGGGGUAGAAUUUCAGGUGUAGCGGUGAAAUGCGUAGAGAUCUGAAGGAAUACCGGUGGCGAAGGCGGCCCCCUGGACAGAUACUGACACUCAGAUGCGAAAGCGUGGGGAGCAAACAGGAUUAGAUACCCUGGUAGUCCACGCCGUAAACGAUGUCUACUUGGAGGUUGUGGCCUUGAGCCGUGGCUUUCGGAGCUAACGCGUUAAGUAGACCGCCUGGGGAGUACGGUCGCAAGAUUAAAACUCAAAUGAAUUGACGGGGGCCCGCACAAGCGGUGGAGCAUGUGGUUUAAUUCGAUGCAACGCGAAGAACCUUACCUACUCUUGACAUCCAGAGAACUUUCCAGAGAUGGAUUGGUGCCUUCGGGAACUCUGAGACAGGUGCUGCAUGGCUGUCGUCAGCUCGUGUUGUGAAAUGUUGGGUUAAGUCCCGCAACGAGCGCAACCCUUAUCCUUGUUUGCCAGCGAGUAAUGUCGGGAACUCCAGGGAGACUGCCGGUGAUAAACCGGAGGAAGGUGGGGACGACGUCAAGUCAUCAUGGCCCUUACGAGUAGGGCUACACACGUGCUACAAUGGCGCAUACAGAGGGCGGCCAACUUGCGAAAGUGAGCGAAUCCCAAAAAGUGCGUCGUAGUCCGGAUUGGAGUCUGCAACUCGACUCCAUGAAGUCGGAAUCGCUAGUAAUCGUGGAUCAGAAUGCCACGGUGAAUACGUUCCCGGGCCUUGUACACACCGCCCGUCACACCAUGGGAGUGGGCUGCAAAAGAAGUAGGUAGUUUAACCUUCGGGGGGACGCUUACCACUUUGUGGUUCAUGACUGGGGUGAAGUCGUAACAAAGGUAGCCGUA
rnacentral:rRNA from 1 species